rnacentral:rRNA from 1 species
GACGAACGCUGGCGGCGUGCUUAACACAUGCAAGUCGAACGGAAAGGCCCCCACUUUUUUGGUGGGGGUGCUCGAGUGGCGAACGGGUGAGUAACACGUGGGUGAUCUGCCCUGUACUUCGGGAUAAGCUUGGGAAACUGGGUCUAAUACCGGAUAGGACCAUGGUUUAGUGCCCCAGGGUGGAAAAAUUUUUGUUUUGUGGCAGGAGGAGCUCGCGGCCUAUCAGCUUGUUGGUGGGGUAAUGGCCUACCAAGGCGUCGACGGGUAGCCGGCCUGAGAGGGUGGACGGCCACAUUGGGACUGAGAUACGGCCCAGACUCCUACGGGAGGCAGCAGUGGGGAAUAUUGCACAAUGGGCGCAAGCCUGAUGCAGCGACGCCGCGUGGGGGAUGACGGCCUUCGGGUUGUAAACUCCUUUCGUUAGGGACGAAGCCGCACCUUUUUUGGGUGUGGUGACGGUACCUUUGUGAAGAAGCAGCGGCUAACUACGUG